rnacentral:sRNA from 1 species
GAAACAAACCGGAAGCAGUAGAAGUAACAUUUGCAGAUUUCGAUGGGGUCCUCUAUCAUAUUUCAAAUCCUAAUGGAGACAAAACAAAAGUGAUGGUCAGUAUUUCUUUGAAAUUCUACAAGGAACUUCAGGCACAUGGUGCUGAUGAGGAUACAAUGUCUCUUUGCUAUAUGACCUUGAAAAUCUUCCGGCAUCCAAGGAUUCCAUUGUGCAUCAAGCUGGCAUGUUGAAGCGAAAUUGUUUUGCCUCUGUCUUUGAAAAAUACUUCCAAUUCCAAGAAGAGGGCAAGGAAGGAGAGAACAGGGCAGUUAUCCAUUAUAGGGAUGAUGAGACCAUGUGAGUAUAGAAUUUGGUCCUGAAGCCUGGAUAUGGCUGCUACACCACCAUGGCACUUACUGAAAGAAAUAUGGCUUGGUCAAACUUUCAGCUGUAUUGCGUGAAAAUGUUUUUCUCAUAAAAUGUCUUAAGCCAGGAAGUAGAUGAUAGGGCAGAAAUCAGCCACU